ACUACAUUCCUAAGUAAGCACAGCACUUACAAACUGCAAAGUUUUUCACAAACAACAGGAACUUAAACCUUUGAUCUACUAUUUACCCAGUGUAUGACCUGGGCAAGUUACCAGAAUGACCUAGGUUUCCUUCAGAGUUAAGUGAGAGCAGCAAAGUGCCUACUUAAACAGAAGCUGUGAGGAAGCUAAUGUGCACUCGGGUGCCGGAUGAGGAGGGCCUCGUCUUCUUUGUGGUACUCCAGCAUGCCCUGGAAGUCCUUCUCUUUCCUCUGGACUGUGACCUGCCUGACCCUCAACACAGCUUGCCAGGUGCCAGGCCAGAAGUGUGCUGAUGGUGGCUCCAGCCGCAGGUGACAGCGGUGAUGCUCUGCUAGUUUUGGGACAAGGCCUCAAGAGGCCCCACAGCUGCUGCUUGCAUUCCCUGGGAAGCCAGUCGCCAUGUAAAGCAGUACACAGAGAGCGAGAGACCACAAGGAGAACUGACGCCCCAGACAUGGGAAUGAAGCUGUCUUAGAUCUUCUGGCUCCAGCUGACACCAUGUGGAGCAGAGGCAAGCUGUCCCCAAUGAGCUCUGCCAGAAUUCCUGAUUGACACAACAGUGGCUGCUAUUUCUUGGUAUUACAUCCCCAACCAAGAAAAACAGUUAUUUCAUUUAUCUACCAUCAGCAAACUAGGGAUUUCCAGAAUCUGUUCCCACUACAGGGCUAAGGAUGUGAACCUUGUCCAUCUAGCCACCCCAAUCCUUUUUUCUAGAACAUGACUCCCAGAGCUAUGAUCCAUGAGGCAUGGCUACUCACCAGAUUCUCGUUGGUCAACCGGGAUAUCUCCUGCUGGACACCAAAUUCCACCUGGGCCUCUGGGGAUAGCAGCAGUGUCUGGCAGAAGGUCUGCUGCUGUUUGUCCAUCUCCUCCUUCAGGGCCUCCACCUGGGCUUUGAGGUUCUCCACCUGUUCCUCAUGCUCCAGGCUCUGGGCCUGCAGCUGUGCCUCCAGCAACCUGCACCAAGGAGAGAAGGACAGGUGACCAUGUGGUUAGGGCAGCACCCCAAGUGAGGGGCUACAUACAAAUACAACAAGAGAGCAGCCAAGCACACAGCAGCGGUUGCACAUCCCCAACGGGAUGUACACAGUGGGGAGACACACACCACGGAGGCCAGCAGGCAAGCAGGCUGACCUGUCCUCUCCGAUGACAGAAAACCAAGGUAAAAAGCAUCCUGGGCUUAUUAGCCCUUUUCCCUGACCCUGUAUUUCAUUCUGUGAGUAGUUUGGGAUGGAGACACUGCCAUAUCUAAGUCAGCAGCACAAAUUUCUUAUAGUAAAUACAGCAUCUAUGUCUUCCCUAAAGUUCACAAGAAUGCCCUUGUUAAGAUAAAACUCUGAUAAAGUAAUUACAUUAUUUGCUCACUUUCCCUAGACUACCCACAAGUUUUAGAAAGGCAAGGGGCUAGUCUGGCCUAUUCAUCUUCACCAUUACUAUCUCCACUCUACCCCACGUGCACAUUUCUAUAACGAUUUACCCUUCACACCCCAAAAACAAAACUAAGACUAUCUGCAAGUGUUCUGGGGGAAGUUAAAGAUUAGCCAGUGUCUGACAAGCAGACACACCCAGAGAUCUGGAGAGGGUUGGGGAAGGCUCGGAGGCCAAGUCUAAAAAGCUCAAUCAGGGCCAGUUACCUGGCACUCCUUGGACAGUACCUGCUCCACCCUAACAGAAAGUGAGGGAUUCUGGAGGCGCAGCAGCAGCCUUGUCCCCAGGAGCUGGGUGCCAACAUGGUGAGGAUGCACAUCUUCUGGGGCUUCACUACCUGAACCAGCUUCCCGACUCAGUGCAGCUGAUUUUGUGUGAAAGAUAUGUAGAGGGUGCUGGAUGAAAGGGGCUUUGGAAAGCUUCCUGACAUGGCCUACACAGGGGAACACUCACCCCAAUCUUUGCCUGGAAUGAGCAGAGCUAGGCACCAAUUCAGGAAGCAGGCAGAACCCAGGGGACAGAUGUGGGAGUCCCUGACUGCCUCGAAGGUAGGGAGCGGGUUGCAUGUUUUUGCAGUCCUGCUGGUCUGGGAGGCAGUAAAUGCAUAAGAGGGAGGGAAAGAUCACACUGCUGACAGAGGUAGAUGAGUCAGCUUUAUAGCAGCACUGGGUAGAUCACCUGGCUCCCAGUGGCUCCUCAAUCAAGUACCACGAAUGAGGAAAUGAUUGAGGAAUGCACCACAGGCCUAUUGCCAAAAGAAAACAGCAAUGUGAGGAUAGUGGAGGACAGCUUGGUAAUAAAAUCAACACCUUAGGUGAUAUGCAAUACUUAGAUAGCAUCCAACAUUGGCCAAAAUACACUUAAUCACUAAUAGGUUGUAGAUUUAACAAGAGAGUAGAAACACCUGGUUCUAGGAUGCUGCCAAGGGAUGUGCUUCCUUACCUGUGCUAUGUGUCCACCAUUCAUGUCUGCCCUAUGCUCCAAGUGGACUAGGGUGGACUCAGCCCAGGGUGUAGGGUACAGGAUUCCUGCCCAAGCAUCAAGCUAGCUUCCUAAGUGUGUGGAGAAGCCAAAGGCUGAGAGAGAUUCAAGGUCACAGCCAGGGGCCGGGCUGGUUCUACGAGCCAGGACUCCUGACACACAGGCCUGUGGGCUACUUCAACACAUUCAUCUGCUUAUCUGUCACACCACAUUUGACCUGCCAACAGAGGCCCAAGGAAUGACCAGCUUCACACAUGGGUCUCUAUUCCAAUACAACAUGCUUCUGAGUGGAAGGAAUCUGAUCAUAUUGCAUAAUAUAACCAUCAUAACAACA